CUACAAGAGUAUGGGAGUAUGAAGUCCUGCAUUUUCCUACUGUAGUAAGACCAGGACUUAUAAAGGAUAUCUCAGGACUUCCGAGGAUGUUCUUCAAAUAGUCAAGAGAGUGGGAUUUAUUUUUGGAGGGGAUAAAAUAAGGAAAAUGAAAACUGUCAUAAAAUCAUUAAAUCUUGUCUGAUCUUAAAAAAUAUUGCAGGUGCAAAUCUUCAGAUGAUGUUCAACAUAUGUAUAAAUUUUCAAACUGUUCCAUGCAGUAAUAAAAAAUUCUAUAGGGGGGACAAAGUAGCAUCUACAGACAGACAGACAUACAGAAAGACAGACGGACAGGGUGAAACAAAUAUACCCCCCUUAACUUCGUUGGCGGGAGAUUUAUAUGCACAACUUCAAAGCUUCACAAUCGCAGUAUGUGCCAAGCUCCUCCAAUCCGCAGAAACUAGAUCACUAUGAAGCAAUAAUAGUUGACCUGUACAAUGUUUACAUAAUGGACAGGAAAUCUGCAAUAAUUAUAACUCUUCAAAAAGAUGUGGAAGAAACAACUGCCCUUUCCUCCAUUCUGUAGCCUAUGCAAAAACAAUGAUCACCCAUUACCAACUUUAAACCUUAAAUCCAAAUCAAAGAAUGCUGCCUCUUAGACUACCAAUAAGUGACUAGCCGUAGAAACUUUGUUUUGUAUAUCAUUAACAGUUUCACAAAUGGAUUUGAUACUGAAGUACAGAGAACAGGCUUGAAAAGUGUGAUUAAACUUUGUUUAAUAUUUAUUAAUUUCUAUAAAGUAUAAAAACAGCAGCAUCUUGGAUUUGUAUUGUGGCCCGUCAUCUCCUUAUUGGGUUUCGCAUUGUGGCCUCUUACCUAAGGAAUUAGAUAAACUGUAUUAACUCUUUAACUGGCACAACCGCUAAUAUGCGUCCUAAAUAUAACCGCUGUCACCCAUAGACUCCAAUAUAUGCGGCUAUAUUUAAAUGCCUUGUAUUCUCGCAGCUGCUGAUAAGCAACUGUGGCGACCAUGUUUCGCAAAGACACAUAUAUGCGUAUGAUUUACCUUUGUUAAAUAAGAUGUGAUUGGUCAGAAGCGAAUUAAGUCAUAUGAUGAGAAAAACCAAUGACAUGGACCGAGAAAAAUGUUAACUCAACCUAUUUAUAACAUUAUUUCCCAUAUAUAGCAUUGGAAAUCCCCCAAACCCAAGCUUAGAAUUGCGAUUGAUAUUUUGAGAAAACAACACCUAGUAAAAAUGAAAUCCUGAAAAUGGUGAAAGUAUCUGGUGUGGUUCUUAGUAGACCUUUCUGUUGUCAAUGCAUUCACAUGCAUGAAAGAAUCUGCCAAUCAUCUGAUCACUACCAAAAGUGGACGGACAGCGUCCAGGACCCAGAUUAACUUAGUUGUGCAGACAACUUAUAGGGAAAUUUCGACGAUCAAGAAAGAGGAAAGCAGUAUUCAACAUUGACCAAAUGGGAGAAGCCAACUGGCCCAUGAAAAAUGACAACAGGGGAUAAUGUAAACAGUGUGCUUCAGAAAAGAAGAUAUACGAAGUGUUUAUCAAGUGUAAACAGUGUAAAGUUUUACUGUGCAUUGACAAUAACUGUUUUGAAAAAAGGCACAUAAAAGUGUAAAAACUGUGAAGAAAUCAGUGACUGUUCUGUAAAAUUUGCAUUACUUGAUAAUUGAUGCUACAUAUGUUUGUUACUUGAUACUGCUUGAUACUGUGUUUUUCUUCUUACUGAAUUCGGGCAACCAAGUUUAAGAUUCGGGCAAGUGAAUUUAAAAGUUAAUGUCUAUCCCUGCAUUGUGGAACAGGCCAAGGAGCAGUCUGGACAGACUGUCAGCAACUACCAGGUAAUUUACAGUAAAUUCCUAGAUUUUACCCACUUUUAAUUAUUAGAUGCAUAUAUAUAUUUACAGCACUAACUGUUUUGUAUCUAUUCAGAUGGCAGACAAACCAUAUAACAUUCUCAUGAAGGAACUGCCUACGUUGACAUCACAAACAUCGGGCUGGACUUCGUACUCAAACUACACCCAACCAACUCCAUGGUCCACUCAUUGCACUUACACACCAGAACAAACUUCAAACAUGGUACUAGAUGCACCAGCACUUACACUCAAAACACCAACAAAGCAAGUUUCAACAUGCAAUACACAGUUUCAACAUUUCACACAAUUGCAGGAUGCCACACUCAUGUCAACUCCCCAAAGUUUUUUGCAAACCAACAACACUCCACCACAAAAUACAAACACACAGCCAUUGCAAAACACAAAUAUACCAUCAUUACAAAUUCAGUCUGUUCCACUCCAGAACACAGUCACACAGCCAUUACAAAACACAACCAUGACAUCACCACCUAGCACCACAUCAUUUACCACAAUGUCACCCCAAACAACCCUGCCAGCUACCCCUAGAAGAUCCCCAAGAAAGCACUGUACCACACCAGAAGCUUCACAUGGCCAUGUAAGUUCAACACUUUACAAAAGUUAUUCUUAACAAUAAAAAAAUAAAAUUUUGAAAUUAAACUUCUCCAUUCUCUCUUAAUAACAUGAUAGUAUUUUUCUACAAUAAAAAUUUGGCAUAAAUUGUAGAUGACAGCUACUUGCAAGCCAUAGCUUGAGUGUCAGAAGAGAAGCACUAAGAAAAGCCAAGGAAGCAGCAAAGAAAGUGCAUCCAUCAAAAAUGGCUUUUACCAUGAUGGCAAAACUGCUCACAGCUAUAUUCACCUGGGAGGAAUUAGCAUCCAGCAGGGGCCAGGGGCUUAAAUCUAAAGAAGGGGACACAAGACCAGUCAUAGAUGUUUCCAAAAUGACCAUCUUGAAAGAAUAUGUAGCUGUUUGGUGUCAGCAAAAUGGGGGACAAGGAAGUUUUGCUGAGAAAGAUGUGAAUGAUGCAGUGACGGAGCAAUUAAGAGUUGUAUGAAAGGAAGAAGACGAAAACCAAGACAUCAAAAAGCUGAGAGAGAGAGAGAGAGAGAGAGAGAGAGAGAGUUAGGGAGAAAGAAAGUGGAGUAAGCAAUGAGAGAAAGAGAGAGAGGGAAAUAGUUUUACAUGAAAUCUAGGGGACCAUUUUCUUUAAUAUGCUUAAGACUUCAAUUUGACAUACUCAUUAACUUUUAAAUUGUAUGAAUAGAUGAUUGAUCAAUAUGUAUAAUUAAUAAGUCAUGUAUUAUUGUGAACAAUUUUAGUUGAUCAUUUUCUCUGUAGAUUUGCAAAUUUCUGAAUUUCGCUUGUUUUCCAUCUAAGCUUCAUUGUGCUUUUAUAUUGCUUAAUUCAGACGGAUUCUGUCUAUAAUGUUCGCCUUUUCUUCGCUUGAAACUU